GAUGAACGCUGGCGGCGUGCCUAAUACAUGCAAGUCGAGCGAACAGACGAGGAGCUUGCUCCUCUGACGUUAGCGGCGGACGGGUGAGUAACACGUGGAUAACCUACCUAUAAGACUGGGAUAACUUCGGGAAACCGGAGCUAAUACCGGAUAAUAUAUUGAACCGCAUGGUUCAAUAGUGAAAGACGGUCUUGCUGUCACUUAUAGAUGGAUCCGCGCCGCAUUAGCUAGUUGGUAAGGUAACGGCUUACCAAGGCGACGAUGCGUAGCCGACCUGAGAGGGUGAUCGGCCACACUGGAACUGAGACACGGUCCAGACUCCUACGGGAGGCAGCAGUAGGGAAUCUUCCGCAAUGGGCGAAAGCCUGACGGAGCAACGCCGCGUGAGUGAAGAAGGUCUUCGGAUCGUAAAACUCUGUUAUUAGGGAAGAACAAAUGUGUAAGUAACUAUGCACGUCUUGACGGUACCUAAUCAGAAAGCCACGGCUAACUACGUG
rnacentral:rRNA from 1 species